rnacentral:rRNA from 1 species
GAUGAACGCUGGCGGCGUGCCUAAUACAUGCAAGUAGAACGCUGAAGGAGGAGCUUGCUCUUCUGGAUGAGUUGCGAACGGGUGAGUAACGCGUAGGUAACCUGCCUGGUAGCGGGGGAUAACUAUUGGAAACGAUAGCUAAUACCGCAUGACAACAGUUAUUGCAUGAUAACUGUUUAAAAGGGGCAACUGCUCCACUACCAGAUGGACCUGCGUUGUAUUAGCUAGUUGGUGAGGUAACGGCUCACCAAGGCGACGAUACAUAGCCGACCUGAGAGGGUGAUCGGCCACACUGGGACUGAGACACGGCCCAGACUCCUACGGGAGGCAGCAGUAGGGAAUCUUCGGCAAUGGACGGAAGUCUGACCGAGCAACGCCGCGUGAGUGAAGAAGGUUGUCGGAUCGUAAAGCUCUGUUGUAAGAGAAGAACGAGUGUGAGAGUGGAAAGUUCACACUGUGACGGUAUCUUACCAGAAAGAGACGGCUAACUACGUG